GACGAACGCUGGCGGCGUGCUUAACACAUGCAAGUCGAGCGGAAAGGCCCUUCGGGGUACUCGAGCGGCGAACGGGUGAGUAACACGUGAGUAACCUGCCCCAGACUUUGGGAUAACCCUCGGAAACGGGGGCUAAUACCGGAUACGACACAGCUUCGCAUGGGGUCUGUGUGGAAAGUUUUUCGGCUUGGGAUGGGCUCGCGGCCUAUCAGCUUGUUGGUGGGGUGAUGGCCUACCAAGGCGACGACGGGUAGCCGGCCUGAGAGGGCGACCGGCCACACUGGGACUGAGACACGGCCCAGACUCCUACGGGAGGCAGCAGUGGGGAAUAUUGCACAAUGGGCGGAAGCCUGAUGCAGCGACGCCGCGUGAGGGAUGACGGCCUUCGGGUUGUAAACCUCUUUCAGCAGGGACGAAGCGUAAGUGACGGUACCUGCAGAAGAAGCGCCGGCCAACUACGUG
rnacentral:rRNA from 1 species